GCUACGGGUGGCAGCAGUGAGGAAUAUUGGUCAAUGGACGCAAGUCUGAACCAGCCAUGCCGCGUGAAGGAAGACGGCUCUAUGGGUUGUAAACUGCUUUUGUAAGAGGGUAAACGCAGAUACGCGUAUCUGUCUGAAAGUACCGUACGAAUCAGGAUCGGCUAACUCCGUGCCAGCAGCCGCGGUAAUACGGAGGAUUCAAGCGUUAUCCGGAUUUAUUGGGUUUAAAGGGUGCGUAGGCGGUCGGAUAAGUCAGAGGUGAAAUCCCGAGGCUCAACUUCGGAAUUGCCGCUGAUACUGUUCGUCUAGAGUGUAGUUGAGGUAGGCGGAAUGUAUGGUGUAGCGGUGAAAUGCUUAGAGAUCAUGCAGAACACCGAUUGCGAAGGCAGCUUACUAAGCUACUUCUGACGUUGAGGCACGAAAGCGUGGGGAGCAAACAGGAUUAGAUACCCCAGUAGUC
rnacentral:rRNA from 1 species